rnacentral:rRNA from 1 species
GGCCACAGCCAUAUCACCCUGCAGCCGAAGACUGGUUGCCCACUGAAGCUAAGCAGGGUUGAGCUGGUCAGUACCUGGAUGGGAGACCUCCUGGGAAAACUAGGUUGCUGUUGUAA